CCCUUAGAUGUUCUGGGCUGCACGCGCGCUACACUGAUGUACUCAACGAGUUUUCGACCUUGCCUGGAAAGGUUGGGUAAUCUUGUUAAAAUGCAUCGUGAUGGGAUAGAUUAUUGCAAAUAUUAAUCUUGAACGAGGAAUUCCUAGUAAGCGCAAGUCAACAGCUUGCGUUGAUUACGUCCCUGCCCUUUGUACACACCGCCCGUCGCUACUACUGAUUGGAUGUUUAAGCGAGGUUCUCGAACUGCUAGCGACUUAGCUUCGGUGAGGUCGCAGUGUGGGAAGUGAACCUAGCUUUGGUGUCUAGAGGAAGUAAAAGUCGUAACA
rnacentral:rRNA from 1 species